UCUACACCUUUCCACUAGAACUAGAAUAGUCAGGAUAUUGUUUUUCCUCUUCAUCACACAACACAAAUCAAAGCUGAAAGAACGAAAAUUAUCCGAAAGUAGAGGAGAAGUUGGAAAAGGGGGCUAUUGUUGCUUCCUCUCUGUAAUGUCUGCAAUUCCUUCUUUAUUAUGUGAAAAAUAAACAAAAAUUUGAUAGCCCCUUUCGCAUUUAAAAAUCUUAAGAGCGAUCCCUUAAUCUUUGAUUAUUCUAUAGAACUUUCAAUCCUAAAGUGCGGAACAUCAGUAAUAGUACUACUAAUAAUAAUUGUUGCGAAAAUUUCAGUGCUAUUAUGACAAUUUUCUUCUUUCUCUCACCAAAUUGAUAGUGGAGGAGAAAUUUGACAAGUAUCUUGGUUGGUUAACUUGGAGGAAAAGUGACCCUGCAACUGGUGCUUGCAGCCAUUGAGGUGAUUCCAGUCACUCUUGCCGAGUUGUAUCAAACACAUGAGAAUCUUUCCAUUAAAGGAAAAAGACUUAUCUUAGAUUCAGAGCCAAAUAAUGAGGAUUGUAGAGAGUAACGGGGAAAACUUCAAAGACAUCUUCAUUCUGAAGAAGAACAUGGGAGAAUGCUUGCAAUACUAUUGUUAUGAUUCUGAACAUUUUGAGCCGUUAUACAGUUUAUACAAGACGCUAACUCUAUGAAUGACACAAGGAAAAAUCUUACAGCUAUACCGUUCAUAAAAGAGGCUAACUAUUUGAAUGACACAAGGUAAAAAUGUUGCAACUAUACUAUUGAUAUGACCUACAAAGUCUUGCAUCAAAUAUUGCAGAUAGAUAAAAUUUUCUUUUCCCCAUGCACAAGCUGGAGAGGAGAUUUCUCUUUUCAGUUACUCUUUGUGCGCAUUAUAGUGAACUUUAUAUAUGUUACUGAAAUCAUUAUUUCAUCAUAACUAAGAACGAGUUACAAAAGAAUAGUAAUUUAAUUGGGCUCUACUAAUUAUAGGAUUCACUUUUAUCCUAAAAAUAUGAUGUGGGUGAAUUACUCGCUCGCACUUUCUCCUUCACAAAUUGGAGAUGAAUAUUUUCUCUAGACAGGGUCUUUAUGUGUUUGCUUUUACUAUAAUGACUUUGACAGAAUGAUGGCGAAUUUAUA